rnacentral:rRNA from 1 species
CCUACGGGGAGCAGCAGUGGGGGAUAUUGCACAAUGGGGGAAACCCUGAUGCCUCGACGCCGCGUGAGGGAAGAAGUAUUUCGGUAUGUAAAGCUCUAUCCGCAGGGAAGAAACUGGCAGUACCUUACCAAGACGCCCCAGCUAACUACUUUCCAUCAGCCGCGGUAAUACGUAGGGGGCAAGCGUUAUCCGGAUUUACUGGGUGUAAAGGGAUCGUUGACGUUUAUGUAAGCAUGGGGGGAAAGCCCGGGGCCAAACACCGGAAGUGCCUUGGAAGGUGGGUAACUGGAGUACAGGAGGGGCAGGCGGAAUUUCUGGUGGAGCGGUGAAAUGCGUAGAUAUCAGGAGGAACACCGGAGGCGAAGGCGGCCUGCUGGACCGAAACUGACGUUGAGGCUCGAAAGCGUGGGGAGCAAACAGGAUUAGAUACCCGAGUAGUC